AGGUCCAGAAAUCAUCUCAUCAACCUCCCUUCACAGUUAUUGCCUACAAAUGCUAGCAGGCAGUGCCUGAGAUGCCAGAGGGCAGAUUGCUCAGCAGAAGGACAACCUGGAUUUGGCCACAUCAGCCAAAGGCUGCUCCUUUGCCUCAUGUUCAUAAGCAAACCCAUCUAGCUGGUGGCUGAAGAGCUUUGGCCAUGGACUGUCCUCCCCACCCCCAGUGCCCCAAGGCAGCUACAAUUCCCUGGAGAAAUCACAGAAUCACAGCAUUGUAAGGGUUGCAAGGGAUGUCUGCAGAUCAUCUAGUCCAGUCCCCUGCUAAAGCAGGUUUCCUACAGAUGCAAUUAAAUGGCACAGAAGAUAUUGCAAGCAGACCAUCUUAGGGAACAAGAUGGUGCAUGGACUCUUAAAUGUCCAACAUGGAUGUUGAUUGGCACAACACUCAGUGUGGCUCUAGCUCUGCCACUGCUUCUCCCUCACUUAGCUUGGAUAAGCAGAAACAACAAGCUCCAAAAGAGCACUAUGCUAAAGUACUUAAAUCAGUACCUAAUAUAGUAAAUUAAAUCCACCAAAUGCACUAAAAUACAAAAUUUCCAGAAAGCCAUGAACCUCAGGGCUUUUCUCCUCAAGCUGAGGGAUGUGCCAUUGUCUGUUUGGAGAGUUGGAGAGGUAAACUUUGUGCAGGAUGGCCAGCACAAAACCAAAUAUGUUAGCAGCCAUCAUUAAUUUGAGAGACUGGGCCAACAAAGCAGGAAUGUAAAGCAGAAAUGGAUGACAACUUCAAUAACAGAUGAAGUCAACUUGGGACAAGUUCAUCUUCGGUAAAUCCAAACAUCGUGGAAUGGAUUUGGAUUAUGUCACUACCCAAAGAGCACUGACCUAGAAAGCUGCUAUGUUGUAUCUGUUUCCUGAGAUGCUGCCACAGAGAGCAGACACCAGAAGAUGAUGCUGCCCAGCAAGGAAAGACUGAAAGAACUCCUUUACACCAGCAAUGUCCUAUCUCACCAUACUCAUCUCUGGAUUGUGGCUGCAACUUUUCAGUUCUUUGUAGGCCUAUGCUUUUCCUGCUGCCUGUAAACUGAGGGCUAUUUCCAGAGAGCCGUGAGCUAGUCAGGUAAACAACUGCUACUAGGCAAUAGUAGUGUGCUCAGCAGAAAGCCUGUCCUGAUUUACUGCCUCCCUCAAGUAGUUAGGUUAAAUAACAGUGGUGGAAAUCAGCUAUUCCUGGAGCAGAUGAUUCUUCUGUUUAUCACAUUAUGUUGCAGACAACUUUAUAUCACGCAGCUGCUCUGUGCAUAUGUUCCUACUACAGUUUUAAGGGGGAUACUGUUAUCACUAUGCAGUUGGAACUUCUGCUAAAAUAAAAACAUGUGUGG
rnacentral:lncRNA from 7 species